GUGAUAUCCUCCAUCUUGAGGGCAGAUUACACUGACAAAUUUGGCAGGGAUGCAUAAGAGAAGUGACUGUAAUUGUGAGAAUUAUAUUUUCGGAAGCACUUUUGUGGGUCUUUAGUUUCAGAGGAUAAUGAGAUUUUUUCUUCAGAGCUGCCAGCAGUGUGCUGGAGAAGACGUUGUGGGAGGGACACUUGGCAAAGCAAUGUGACGUCUGGCUCUGAAGUCUGCCAAUAAUGACUGAUUGGGCCAUCAGCACCUGGAGCCACGAUUGAUCCAAUCAGAUUGUCGCUUUAACCGAGCAUGUGACCAGAAUCCAAUCAUCUUAUUGCCUAUUUAGAGUGUAUCAGGAAAGGUUAGCCUCUUUGUCUGUAUUGUAAUCCUUUGAAUGUUUCCUACAGAUGGCGGCCUCUGUUUCCACGUCGCAGCAUGAGUUUGCCCACAGGCCGCAAGGUAUGAACCCUUCCCAUGAUGCACGGCGGGCCCAGGGGCCUCAACCCCCGGGCCAGGGGCCCUCAGGGCAGUAUGGGUCUCCGGGCCCUAGCGAGCGAGACAAGCCCCCGCCUCAACACCAGAAGCCCUACUUCUACGUCCAGCCCUCCCAGACGUACGUCCCCAUGCAGUCCAACAUGCAGUGGCACAUGCCCCUCUCCUACAACCCUUACUACGGUUACCCAGGGUUAGGUUACGCCAUGCAACCUAUGAACACCUAUCCCAUGAAUGGAUACAUGGAGCCGCCGGGAUACGUCAUGCCUCAGAGCCAACUCCAUCUGGUGGACUACAGGCGCAUGCUGAGCCCCCAGUACUACCACACCUUGGCCUAUCAGUCCCGCACGCUCAGCUACCAGCACAGCUCCUCCAAUAGAGACAUGAUCAGCUCUGAAGUGCAGACCGAGCCACUCUCUGCGUCCAAAAAGUCAAACGCCGCUGCUUCAUGUGGUGGUGGUGGUAGGGUCGACACGCACAAUGGCUUCCCUCAAGGCAUACACGAUUGUGCAGAAAGAAACAACCCCGGGCCUGCUCACCUUCUACCCCAAGCCCAGUCUGCAAAGACUGGUGAUCGAUUGGUGGAUCUCAAGAAGACGUCGCCCUCUCCUGUCGGAAAGGCGCCUCAGAAGAGCAGCUUUGUUAUCCAGACCGAGGAGCUUCGGAUCGAGUGCUGCAGUACCGCAGUGGGCCUCGAGGUUCUGCGCUCCCGUGAGACCCAGGAGAUGGAGUUGGCUCACAGUUACGCUGCCCGGGAUCUGGGCCGCUGCGGCUCUUUGAUCACCCCCACUCCUGUGCUGCAGGAAGUGGCCAGGAGUGCUCCAAAAGAGCAGUUGGACAUUGGCCAACAAGUUGUUCCUGACCUUGUGUUAGUUGGCACGGAUUCCUGUGGCACCACUACGGGGACGUUGUCUUGGCGCGAGCCGAAAGCCCAGAUUAAACGCACCGAUGCGUCGCCGGAUUCAGGCUCCAGGGUUGAAGUCAGCGGGGGUGUAGGUCAGAAGACGACCGUAGAGCAAGGACAGAAGCGCAGCACUGACGCUAAUGUAGGCUGUGGUUCCAACGACGGCCUCGUUAAAGUCCUCCACAUGCCCUUUGACCUGGACUACCUGGAUGAGCUCCGGAGCAUGGAGACGACGGUGUGGUCGAUGGAAGAGACGGUCCUUUCCUCCCCUGAUUGGAUGACGCAAACCACUCUAAUAGAUUCACACAUGGACACACUUGUGGAGGAAGUCAAGGAUCCCCGCGAAGAGGACCUGAUGGAUGUUUUCGCUGAGGAGUUUACGAUGGAACAGGUGGUGCCCAUGAUUGAGAUGCCUCAGUCUGAAGAGGAGCUCCUGAUAGAGCUGGGCUCCACUAGAGAUGCCCCCCCUGUGUUGGUCUCUGCCCCUCAACCCGAAGGCCUUGCCUCAGUGGAUACUCGUGACACAGAGGUGGCUUCAACGGCCCAUCUUGUCCACGACUCGGGUGUGAGUCACUCACACAGUUCAGAGUCGGUGGUGGGCCUCCCUGGUACAGGUGACUCAAUUCAGCACGAGUCUGAGCUGACUGACCAGACUUCCUACGAGUCCCUCCCGGCUUUCCUCCCUUCCACUGCUUGGCCGACUGACCAUAGUAACAUAGUGCACCUCAGAGAAAUGCCACAACCCCCCAAGAAACCCAGCAAGUCCCAGAGCGCUCACAACUCGGAAGAGCCAAUCGAGAGACGGAAGCCCAACAAAGAAUCAAAGGAGGCUCACACCGUUCAAAGGCCCAAAGCAGAAAAGAUCGACAAAGCCAACGUCAACAGGCGUAGCGUCUCGGACCACGAAUGCUGUCUCCGGCGCAAUCUAAACGAGAACGCGUUCCCCGCCCGGUGGCCCCGACUAGAGCGCCUCUGCAGCAGAUGCCUGGCCAAUCGCAGCGGCUGCCCGACGGUCAGUCCGGGAUCGCAAUCGGUGCAGAUCUACAAAAGAAGAUGCCCCACUCCCCUCCAGCCAUGGCUGCAGGGCUGCGUGCUACCGACGUGCGAAGCCUGCAAGAUGCUGGCGAGGAAGAGGCUGAUGCUUCGCCGUGGCACCAGCUCAGACGUCUGCGGAUCCGGCUGGCAAGACGCCGCAGGGGGCGAGACCUCCGAGAACGGUUCCGUUCGAAGGGUGCCAAAGUGGUCGGGGCUUGAUGACCCCAGGAGAGCGUGCGCUGAAUCGAAGAGACACCAGGUGACCUCCAGGAACCGACCUGAGAAGUGUCCUCUGGCGUUCGGGGAGAGGAACUGCGCUUGUGAUGAGCACAGAGUCCCUGGUUGGGACGGGCGGAGCAGGCAUGCACCUGGAACUGGGAACGUCGUACAGGAGACCGACGAGAACGGCGUCUUGCCAGUGCGUUCCCAGGAAAAGUGGGGAGGCGUGGAAAGAAACAACGGAUAUAAAUGGAAAAAUGAGAAAUCAUUCACAUCAAUGGUGUUUAAUCGGAACAUGGCUGGCCACAAGGAUGCGGUCAUAUCACAGCACUUGAAUAUACAGAAGAAAUCACAGGCACUAUCACAAGGAACUCACAGAAAAGUAACAAGAUGCUGAUUUUCACAAGAGCACAAUCACUUGAACACGUGCACAAAUAAUUUAACCUUGACUCACAUUGUUCACUAUUUAUUGCGCACUAUUUAAAUAAACACCUUUUUUACUACAGCUGGUUUUGGUUUAAUUGAACUGACCGUUGCAUAAUUUAAUUCAAUGGCAGGGAUUCUCCAUAAGAUGGUGCUGUAACCCCAUACAAUUUCGCUUCAUAAUUUAGCAGCCGCAAUCUCCGGGCGGUAUUAAUUGCAAACGAGGCAUUUGACUCGUAAAUUGUUGGUCAUUGUGAUAGACGUAGAUCUGUCUUUGUUGAUUUCAGGGAAAUGGUUUAUGGGUUGG
ensembl:lncRNA